rnacentral:rRNA from 1 species
UACAGAGGUCCCAAGCGUUGUUCGGAUUCAUUGGGCGUAAAGGGUGCGUAGGCGGCGCGGUAAGUCGGGUGUGAAAUCUCGGGGCUUAACUCCGAAACUGCAUUCGAUACUGCCGUGCUUGAGGACUGGAGAGGAGACUGGAAUUUACGGUGUAGCGGUGAAAUGCGUAGAUAUCGGGAGGAACACCUGUGGCGAAAGCGGCGCACUGGACCACAACUGACGCUGAGGCGCGAAAGCUAGGGGAGCAAACGGG